ensembl:lncRNA
AUUUUUUUUUCAGUGUGUGCUGGGGGGGGCGAUGAAAAUUGUUAGCAACCCCUGGGGAAUCAGCUGUUCCCUAAGUUUCCCCCACUUGAAAUUGGAGGGAAGAGGGGCCGCUGGGAAGGUGGCCUUCCCCGCCUCCCCUCCACAGUGUGCAGGGUUGGUCACAGGGCUGACGGGCCCUCCAUUCUCGCCUGCCACUCACGGUCCCCCCCUUGGUCCCCCUCCCUUCCACUUCCUGCCGUGACUGGAGAUCAGAGAACUCCCCACCGCAGCUUCCCCUUCUCAAGUCUCGAUUCCUGGGCUGAAGGUUUCACUGUGGGGCGAGGGACACAAGGAAGGAGGGCUGGGGACCUGCGGUAGGACCCAGGGGACAGAUGCUCCCGGGGAGGGGCCAGGAGGGAGCUACUCCAAGAACCAACAUGGCCCAGACACUCAGGAAGAACUCAGGUCCUCGCCGCCCCUCCCAGUGCACCAACAUCUUUCAAAGCCACAAACUCCCUGACUCCACAACCACCACCCUCCUGCUCCCUCCUGCUCCAAAUACUCUUUCUCUGGUUCCCUCCCCCAGACUCAUCUCCACCCCUCCCAGGGGAAGCCCCAAUGCUCCAAGCCACCCCCACUGCCACCUGGGGCUUCCCCGGCCCAGCCUCCCCAUCAAGCACAAGGCCGUGGAGGAGAAUCUGGGGCUUGAGCCCAUUUCCUAGCAAGACUUGGUGUCCUUCCUGAACCACUUCCCCCCAAACACCCCGGCCCAUGACCACGGCAGCCAGGCAGCCAGGGAAGCGGACAAGAGACUUCACUGAAUCGCCUAACCAGGAAACUGGAGGAGGAUGGCGGUCAGGAGCAGAAGUGAGGGUUGGGGGUAAGAAGCAGGGGGUGGGGGUGGGGUGGGGGAGUGUUUUCAGGAACAAGGCCCCUGAGAACAUACACGGUACAACAUACACGGUACACAGGCACACAUGUGCACACGUCUCCCAGGCAGAAGGCAAUCUGGUUACAGAAGAGGGAGCUGGCAGUUGGUGGAGGCCCAGGGUACCCCUCCACGCCAGCACAAAGGCAUGCUAUCCAAGGUAGGCUGGACAGUGGACAAGUGUCUCCAAGACUGGGGGCUUUUCUUGUAUGAUUUCCACAUGAGCUGGUUCUCAUCUCCAGCCUAGUGCACGGCCCCCUUCCCCCAGAGCAACCCGACAACAGGGCCAUGCCCGGAGAGGAGAAAGGGCACUGCCAAGCAGAUUUUCCAGCUUCCCCCUCCCACAUACACAUCUGGCUAGCAGCUUCUCCACCUCGUGGGUGGCACCAGGUCCCAGACACCCUGGGCAGAACCAAGACAACCAAUCUAUUCCAUCCUUCUCAUACCCCCACAAGCUUCCACAACCCCAUGGUGCCUACAAACCCAGAGACAUCCCUCCCCUGGCUGCACUGGCUCCCCGUACCCAAUUCUGACGGCUCCCCGCACUCCACGGGGGACACCAGCUGAAUGGGCCCCGCCUCCCAACUGGCUGCCUCAGAUGAGGGUGGGCCCCCGGGCUGAUUCUCCCCAAACCACAGGGCGGCUCAGAUAACAGCAGGGAAAGAAGGAGGGGGCUAGUCCGUUGGGCAUCUGAUCUCUCCCCAAACAGGUUUGAAAAUCUUUUUGUUUUGUUUGUUUGUGAAGAGAAAAAGCGAGAGAGAGCAGGAGUUCCCAGCGGCGGUUCUGCCACAGCU